ACCCUGGGCAGUAGAAAGAAGGAACAGAAAGCAGAGUAGAUUAAGAGGAGCAAGUACAAAUGGCGUGGGACUUCAAAUCACCACCUAAGAUUACUUCUUUGAUUUCUGAAAAAGUAGGUCAAAGGAAGAUGUCAGGGGCAAGAAACCAAUUGGGUGUUGUGCCUAAGAACGUGGACCCUGUGGCCAGACUGCUUGGAUCAGUGUCCUCCCUCCACCACUUUGUAGCCAUCUGACCUCAGUGCUGGAGCAGAGGUACUGAAUGAGGAAGUGGAGUCUUGGGAUACCUUUGGAGGGAUCCAGUUAAUGGACUGGCUGCCAUAAUUGGUCUGAGACACUGGUGCAAGCAUGCAACUGAAGGCGAGAAAGAGCGAGAAGGAUGCUGUUUCUGAGAAGGCCUUCCUUUUUUUCCUCUGGAGAAAGUGAAAUCCUAAAUCCAUUCCCUCAUUUUC
rnacentral:lncRNA from 1 species